CUGUCUCAAAAAAAAAAAAAAAAAAAGAAAAAAAAAGUAUACACUGAUAAGAAUUCUUCAAAUUGAAGAUUAUGUUCUUAUGUCUACCCAGUCUUUCCUUUUUCCUUUCCUUCGGACUCCAACUAGAACAGCAAGGAGCAGAGACAAAGACAAACUAGUCCUUAAAAUGCUGUUAUGGAGACAAAAUGACACCAAACAAGUCCACUCUGUGAAUUGGUUAUGCUGUAAAUUAAUCUUUGUCUAAAUGGCCUUUGACAAACCGACUGACUCCUAGCUGACCUCCUUAGACAUACCCAGUAUCCCAAGUGAAGCUGUUUCAUCGUUUUUUGUUUGUUUGUUUUAAAGACAGGAGGUCUUUCUGUGUUGCCCAGGAUGGACUCCAAUUUCCUGGCUCAAGCGAUCCUCCUGCCUCCGCCUCCCAAGUAGCUGGGACUACAGGUGCUUGCCUGGCUUGCUUCACCAUUUUCAGUAAGAACGAUCAUGAUGCUGCUCACUGAAGUCAGCAGACUUCCUUUGUGGGGUUAAUGACUGCAGUGUGUUUUGAGGAAAAACAAAACAAAACAAAAAAAAACUACUCCAAUAUUUUGAGGAAAUACUUCUUUAAAUACUGGCCUCUGCCCUGACACUCCUUGCCUCCUAAUAUUGGCACCACCUCUGUUUCCUUACAAUAGAGUCUCAGAACAUGGGAUCAAUCUUAGACCCAAAGGAGGAUGCUUCUCAGAAACACUCUCUGUCCUGCCGUACGUCUGUCUAAACUCCUCUAGCAAUUCCGAUGUGAAAAGAAGAUGGAUGGAGAAGCACUGAUUCAGCCAUGGCUGACAUGUCGGAGUUGGAAUGGACAGUGCCCGGACCUCACAGUCUCAGAGAACUGGAGAAGAGUAAAGCUGAAGAGGGCAUCAUCUGGUUACAAAUGACAAGUCCAGGGCUCCAGUGCUUUGGGGAUAUAAAUUCAUCCCAGGAUGAACAAAUCAUGCAAAGUUGUGUAAAAACCAUUUUCAAGCCAGGCACGGUGGCAUGCACCUGUAAUCCCAGCUACUCGGGAGGUCGAGAUGGGAGGAUGGCUUGAGCCCAGGAGUUCGAGGCUGCAGUGAGCCAUGAUUGUUGCGCCUGUGAAUAGGCACCGCAUUCCAGCCUGGGCAACACAGUGAGACCCAGGCUCUAAAACAACAACAGCAACAACAAGAAAACCAUUUUUAAUGCUUCAGGACUAAAUAUUGGGGAAGUGGUUAAGAACACGAGUUCUAGAAUCUCACCACCUCCACUUUCCAGCUGUGUGAAUUUGGAAAUUACCCAAACUGUCCAAGCCAAAAAUAAGCACUUUCUGGAUCUUGGUACUGUUUCUUUCUGGGUAACCUAGAAAGUCACUCCAUUGCUUUGAGCUUCAGUUUUCUCUUCAGCAAAGUGAGGAUAACACAAACUUUUCUACUAACCUCAAGGGGACACCGUGAGAUGAUGUAUGCGAAGGUGCUUCGUCAACCGCAAAGACCUACAGGAGUGUCCAGUUGUGUUGCUGCUGCUGUUGUUAAUCUUUAGUACCAGUACUAUGUAUGAAGUAGUACUAAAGAAUCUGUCUUUAGUACCAGUACUAUGUAGUAGUACUAAAGAAUCUGUCUUUAGUACCAGUACUAUGUAGUAGUACUAAAGAAUCUGUCUUUAGUACCAGUACUAUGUAGUAGUGCUAAAGAAUCUGUCUUUAGUACCAGUACUAUGUAGUAGUACUAAAGAAUCUGUCUUUAGUACCAGUACUAUGUAGUAGUACUAAAGAAUCUGUCUUAGUAUACACAGUACUGGUACUAAAGGCACUAUGAAGAAGGCCAGGCAUGGUGGCUCAUGCCUGUAAUCCCAGCACUUUGGGAGGCCGAGGUAGGUGGAC
rnacentral:lncRNA from 1 species